CAGUCGCCACGGUAAUACGGAGGGUGCUAGCGUUGUUCGGAAUCACUGGGCGUAAAGGGCGCGUAGGCGGCCUGUUAAGUCGGAUGUGAAAGCCCGGGGCUCAACCCCGGAACUGCAUCCGAGACUGGCAGGCUUGAGACCGGGAGAGGAGGGUGGAAUAUCCAGUGUAGAGGUGAAAUUCGUAGAUAUUGGAUGGAACACCGGUGGCGAAAGCGGCUCUCUGGCCCGGAUCUGACACUGAGGUGCGAAAGCGUGGGGAGCAAACAGGAUUAGAUACCCGAGUAGUCCCUGUCUCUUAUAC
rnacentral:rRNA from 1 species